CUAUGAAGCACCGGGACGGCAUAUGCUUGACGUCUCCCGUACCAGCUGCGUUUCCGGGACGGGGACGGCGCGGGGACGGCGUGGGGACGUUUCCAAAACGUUUCAGAAGAGGUGGGGACGGCAGAGAUUUUUGGGGACGGCUUGGUUAGGUUCCGGGGACGUUUCCUAAACGUUUCUUAUGUAAAGUCCGUAUAGUUUUGUAAAAAUUGAUUAUUUACCUUUUUUUUGAUGUUUUUUAGUUUUGUAAAACAAUUGAAAAAAGGAAACACGUACUUAUAUAAACAAUUAGGGUUACAAAGUUUAUCAUCAUCUCUUAAACUUAAACAACUUCUUAUUCAGUUAUUCACUUCAUCUUCUUUCUCUCAAUUGAUUCACGUCAAAGGAAACACAUUAAGUAUGAUUACAAAUCCUGUUUUUUGGUUUGUCAAUUCUCACGUAAAAGUAGAUAGUAUUAGAUAGUAUUGGUUUGCUAUGGUUUGUUUCACCACGUACGUAUCUGUGAUUUUAGCUUGUAGUAAAAGUAUACGUGCGGUGCAGGAAAACAAAACUCUGUUUUUU
rnacentral:lncRNA from 1 species